rnacentral:rRNA from 1 species
AUUGAACGCUGGCGGCAUGCCUUACACAUGCGAGUCGAACGGUAACAGGUUAAGCUGACGAGUGGCGAACGGGUGAGUAAUACAUCGGAACGUGCCCAGUAGUGGGGGAUAGCCCGGCGAAAGCCGGAUUAAUACCGCAUACGACCUAAGGGUGAAAGGGGGGGAUCGCAAGACCUCUCGCUAUUGGAGCGGCCGAUGUCAGAUUAGCUAGUUGGUGGGGUAAAAGCUCACCAAGGCGACGAUCUGUAGCUGGUCUGAGAGGACGACCAGCCACACUGGGACUGAGACACGGCCCAGACUCCUACGGGAGGCAGCAGUGGGGAAUUUUGGACAAUGGGCGCAAGCCUGAUCCAGCCAUGCCGCGUGCGGGAAGAAGGCCUUCGGGUUGUAAACCGCUUUUGUCAGGGAAGAAAUCCUUUGGGUUAAUACCUCGGGGGGAUGACGGUACCUGAAGAAUAAGCACCGGCUAACUACGUG